GCGGAGGUUGACGUGGUGGGUCCCACCGGAGAGAGCGUGAAGCGCGACGGGGUGAGCGUCGGGGAGAUUGUGAUGAGAGGAGGGUGCGUGAUGUUGGGAUACCUUAAAGACCCCGAAGGAACCGCGAGUUGUUUUAAAAACGGGUGGUUCUACACAGGGGAUGUCGGGGUGAUGCACGAGGACGGGUACAUGGAAAUUAAGGACAGGUCAAAAGAUGUUAUCAUCAGCGGCGGCGAGAACCUGAGCAGCGUGGAGGUGGAGUCGAUUUUGUAUGGGCAUCCGGCGGUGGUGGAGGCGGCGGUGGUGGCGCGACCGCAUGAGUAUUGGGGAGAGACGCCGUGCGCGUUUGUGAGCUUGAAGGCGGG
rnacentral:lncRNA from 1 species